AUAGCAAGAGUGCGUGUAUGAGAAUUACAUAUGUUAUAAUUAAGUAAUAAAGUACGACAUGAAAACAUAUGCAAUUGUGCUCAUUGUGUGCGGCUGUGUGGCGGCGUUAGUCCUCCUCCUAUGUUGUCUUUGCAACAAUGGCCGCAAAAAGAAAACCCCCACAGCCCUGGCUCGCGCCCCUCCUCCGCCGCCACGUCAGACGGUGAUUAAUAAUAAUCGUGAUGUGGAGAAAGGAGAAAAGCCGAAAAGUAGCGGAUUGAAGGAUGGUGGAAUGGUUGUUCUUGGAGCAGCAGCUGUCGCUGCCACUGUCACCACUGCCGCUGUAAUCAGCAGCGGUGCUGGCGGUGACUCUGGUGGUGGUGGUGGUUGUGGAGGCGGCUGCGGUGGGGGUUGUGGAGGCGGCUGUGGAGGUUAAUAUGUAAAGUCAACGUAACUACUAAUAUCAUGUUGUGUGAAAUGCUCUAUUGUUGUGUUUAUAUUAUAUAUGAUUACGAAUAUUAUGUGAAGUAAACUAAUAUUCCUAUGUGUGAUUCUAAACCUGCAAAUUAUUAUUUCUUUUCUAUUGAAAUAUUCAACUUGUUGAAAGUGAUGGACAGAGGUUUGUUUGUUUCAGAGGUUUAAUUGUUGGAUUUUGGAAAACAAAUAAUCAUUUCGAAUCUCUAGUGGUGGCCGAGGGGUAUAUCAAAUUAUUAUCGAAAUGGAGGGGGUAUGCACUAGUGUGUAAUCUGCAUGGUAGUUAGUCCUACAUAAUUUCGAAAUGAGGGGGUCUCCAAAUUAUUAUUAUUAUUAUUAUUAUUAUUAUUAUUAUUAUUAUUAUUAUUAUUAUUAUUAUUAUUAUUAUUAUUAUUAUUAUUAUUAUUAUUAUUAUUAUUAUUAGGGCAAAUUACCAAAACCCCCCUGAGGUAAGCCUAAAUAACGAAAAUCCCCCCCAUGUUCUCGUAAUUACGAAAACCCCCCUUGACUAACGGUUGACCGAAUUUUUUUAACCGAAAACGUGAAAUGUCUAUUAUAUCCUUCUGUUAAAUAUGUAAAAAAUAAAGGGCAAAUUACCAAAACCCCCCUGAGGUAAGCCUAAAUAACGAAAAUCCCCCCUGACAUCCCUUUCAGUUGAUGAUUUAUUGAUUUUAUAAAUUUAUUUAUUACUUUGUAAUUUGUAUUGAUAAUUUGAUAUUAUAAUUUUUUAUUUUUUUUAUUUAUAUAUUUUAAUUGAUUUUAUUUAUCCAGAGGAGUAUUCAUACGGAUUUAUGCUUUUAGCUUGAAUGAUGCAUGGUUGUAUUUCUCGAAUUGUAAAAUAUUUAAUUUUAUAUAUAAAAAAUAAUUAUAUUUUGAAAUCUCAUUCAUUGAUUUUUUUUAAUCCAAUAAAAAUACAUUGUACAUUCAUAAUGAUUGAUUAUAUUUGGGUUUAAUUUAAGAAAAAUAAGUAUUUUGCAGACACUUAUAUAUUUUUUUAUUUAUAUAUUUUAAUUGAUUUUAUUUAUCCAGAGGAGUAUUCAUACGGAUUUAUGCUUUUAGCUUGAAUGAUGCGUGGUUGUAUUUCGAAUUGUAAAAUAUUUAAUUUUAUAUAUAAAAAAUAAUUAAAUUUUGAAAUCUCAUUCAUUGAUUUUUUUUAAUCCAAUAAAAAUACAUUGUACAUUCAUAAUGAUUGAUUAUAUUUGGGUUUAAUUUAAGAAAAAUAAGUAUUUUGUACAUUCAUAAUGACCCCUCAUUAAAUAAAAUGCUUACAAUUACCCCCCUAAGGUUAAUUUCGUGUACAAGGGCAAAAUUGGUAUUAUCGGAG
rnacentral:lncRNA from 1 species